AGCGAACGCCGGCGGCAGGCCUAACACAUGCAAGUCGAACGGGUCCUUCGGGAUUAGUGGCGGACGGGUGAGUAACACGUGGGAACGUGCCCUUUGGUUCGGAACAACUCAGGGAAACUUGAGCUAAUACCGGAUGUGCCCUUCGGGGGAAAGAUUUAUCGCCAUUGGAGCGGCCCGCGUCUGAUUAGCUAGUUGGUGAGGUAAAGGCUCACCAAGGCUACGAUCAGUAGCUGGUCUGAGAGGAUGAUCAGCCACAUUGGGACUGAGACACGGCCCAAACUCCUACGGGAGGCGGCAGUGGGGAAUCUUGCGCAAUGGGCGAAAGCCUGACGCAGCCAUGCCGCGUGAAUGAUGAAGGUCUUAGGAUUGUAAAAUUCUUUCACCGGGGACGAUAAUGACGGUACCCGGAGAAGAAGCCCCGGCUAACUUCGUGCCAGCAGCCGCAGUAACAC
rnacentral:rRNA from 1 species